AAGGGGGGUUUUAGACCAAAAAACAAUAAAGAAUAUUUUCCCCAAAAGUUUUAUACAUUUUGGUGGCUGUCUCGCAUGUUUGGAGAUUAAUGUUCCUCUGGUUGUUGUUUUUGUUGGAAUUGCAUGCAUGAGACCAUGGUUGUUGAACAGGAGAAAGAGAGCCUUAGAUCAAGGUUGUUCAAUUUCAGGGGAUUGUAUGAUUCAUCAUCAUCCAACAACAGCAGCAACAACGGGACCAAUAAACAUUCGAAAAGCCAAAGCCUUGAUGAUUCCUCUAGCAAUAUUGAUGACUCUCCCAUCAUAAUAACUUCAUCAUCAUCAUCUUCAUCAACGACAGAUCACCCAACACCCCCAUUGGAGAAACAGAAAUCUCGAGUGGCGGCAGCAG
rnacentral:lncRNA from 1 species